GACGAACGCUGGCGGCGUGCUUAACACAUGCAAGUCACGGGGGCCCGCAAGGGUAACCGGCGAACGGGUGCGUAACACGUGAACAAUCUGCCUAGAUGUGGGGGAUAGCCGGCCCAACGGCCGGGUAAUACCGCAUACGCUCUUCGGGUGGCAUCACUUGAAGAGGAAACCUCCGGGGCAUCUAGAGGAGUUCGCGGCCUAUCAGCUAGUUGGUGGGGUAACGGCCUACCAAGGCAAUGACGGGUAGCUGGUCUGAGAGGAUGGCCAGCCACAUUGGGACUGAGAUACGGCCCAGACUCCUACGGGAGGCAGCAGUGGGGAAUAUUGCGCAAUGGCCGAAAGGCUGACGCAGCGACGCCGCGUGGGGGAUGAAGCAUUUCGGUGUGUAAACCCCUGUUGCUCGGGACGAACAACUGGAUUUGUCCAGUCUGACGGUACCGGGUGAGGAAGCACCGGCUAACUCCGUGCCAGCAGCCGCGGU
rnacentral:rRNA from 1 species